rnacentral:rRNA from 1 species
UACGAAGGGGGCUAGCGUUGCUCGGAAUGACUGGGCGUAAAGGGCGCGUAGGCGGCUUUUUAAGUCAGGGGUGAAAUCCUGGAGCUCAACUCCAGAACUGCCUUUGAUACUGAGAAGCUUGAGUCCGGGAGAGGUGAGUGGAACUGCGAGUGUAGAGGUGAAAUUCGUAGAUAUUCGCAAGAACACCAGUGGCGAAGGCGGCUCACUGGCCCGGUACUGACGCUGAGGUGCGAAAGCGUGGGGAGCAAACAGG